GGGGCCGCAAUCACCGUGUUCAUAAGUGACAUAUUUGAAUGGUUCACGGUCUCCCAACUUCAAUAUUUAUUUUGAUUUUGAUUUUUUUCAAAGAAAUUGAUAAGAGAAACAGCAACACAUUAUCACUACUCUGUUGUCAUUUCCUUCAAUACAACAGCAGCGAUUCUUGCAACUAAUUCUUCUGUUACCACCGAAAGGGUCCACAACGAGUCACACCUACAAGCUUUCCUUCUCCUAAGCUUUUUAACAACCUUCGGUGGCGUCACAGCAGCUUCCCGUGAAGGUAGUUUUUCUUCUUUCUCUGUUACUGUGAUUUCAUUCGUUUCAUUGGCUGGCAGAAUCUCCUUUGUUAUCUCUGUUCGUUCUACUCUCAGAGGUCCAUCGCCAUUUUCUGUAACAUUCUUAGUCUCCACAGAAGCCUCCUUAAUGGUUUCCUGUGAAGGUAGUUUUUCUUCUUUUUCUGUUACUACAACUUCAUUCGUUUUAUUGCCGGGCAGAAUCUCCUUUGUUAUCUCUGUUCGUUCUGUUAUCAGAGGUCCAUCGCCAUUUUCUGUAACAUUCUUAGUCUCCACAGAAGUCUCCUUAAUGGCUUCCUGUGAAGGUAGUUUUUCUUCUUUUUCUGUUACUACAACUUCAUUCGUUUUAUUGCCGGGCAGAAUCUCCUUUGUUAUCUCUGUUCGUUCUGUUAUCAGAGGUCUAUCGCCAUUUUCUGUAACAUUCUUAGUCUCGAGAGAAGAUUCCUUAAUGGCUUCCUGUGAAGGUAGUUUUUCUUCUUUCUCUGUUACUAAAGUUUCAUUCGUUUUAUUGCCGGGCAGAAUCUCCUUUGUUAUCUCUGUUCGUUCUGUUAUCAGAGGUCCAUCGCCAUUUUCUGUAACAUUCUUAGUCUCGAGAGAAGAUUCCUUAAUGGCUUCCUGUGAAGGUAGUUUUUCUUCUUUUUCUGUUACUACAACUUCAUUCGUUUUAUUGCCGGGCAGAAUCUCCUUUGUUAUCUCUGUUCGUUCUGUUAUCAGAGGUCCAUCGCCAUUUUCUGUAACAUUCUUAGUCUCCACAGAAGUCUCCUUAAUGGUUUCCUGUGAAGGUAGUUUUUCUUUUUCUGUUACUUCAACUUCAUUCGUUUUAUUGCCUGGCAGAAUCUCCUUUGUUAUCUCUGUUCGUUCUGUUAUCAGAGGUCCAUCGCCAUUUUCUGUAACAUUCUUAGUCUCCACAGAAGUCUCCUUAAUGGUUUCCUGUGAAGGUAGUUUUUCUUCUUUUUCUGUUACUUCAACUUCAUUCGUUUUAUUGCCGGGCAGAAUCUCCUUUGUUAUCUCUGUUCGUUCUACUUUAUGAGGUCCAUCGCUCUUUUCUGUAGCGUUCC